rnacentral:lncRNA from 1 species
CCUGGGGCUGUACCUGGUGGUCCAGGGAUGAAUCCCGCACUGGGCCAGGCUUUAACAGCUUUCCUAGCCACCCAAGGUGGAGGGUUGGGUCUGAACAACAUCCUUGGAGUUGGUCCUAAUAGUUCAGGGGUGCCAAAUUCAGGGUCUUCUGGAGCUCUUGGUGGUGGUGGUGGUGGUGGUGUACCUGGAAUGCCUGGCGGUUAUAUGGGAGGCUAUGGGGGUGGUGGCGGGUAUGGUGGUCCACCUGGAGGUCCAGGAAGAAAUUACAUGGGUCAUUAGGUAAGAUUUGGUUGGUCAGUGUGUCCUAACUGUAGA